rnacentral:rRNA from 1 species
GACGAACGCUGGCGGCGUGCUUAACACAUGCAAGUCGAACGGAAAGGCCCUGCUUUUGUGGGGUGCUCGAGUGGCGAACGGGUGAGUAACACGUGAGUAACCUGCCCUUGACUUUGGGAUAACUUCAGGAAACUGGGGCUCAUACCGGAUAGGAGCUCCUGCUGCAUGGUGGGGGUUGGAAAGUUUCGGCGGUUGGGGAUGGACUCGCGGCUUAUCAGCUUGUUUGUGGGGUAGUGGCUUACCAAGGCUUUGACGGGUAGCCGGCCUGAGAGGGUGACCGGCCACAUUGGGACUGAGAUACGGCCCAGACUCCUACGGGAGGCAGCAGUGGGGAAUAUUGCACAAUGGGCGGAAGCCUGAUGCAGCAACGCCGCGUGCGGGAUGACGGCCUUCGGGUUGUAAACCGCUUUCGCCUGUGACGAAGCGUGAGUGACGGUAAUGGGUAAAGAAGCACCGGCUAACUACGUG